AAAGGGAUAGAAGUACAACACAAUUACACAGGGUUUUUCCCUAUGCCCUCUCCCCCAGCUCUCACCAACACUACGCUCCUCUUGCACAGACCCAGGAAAGUAAUCGCCAGCGGUAAGAGGGGGACCCAUUUGGCCCCGGGUCCUGUGGUAGGGGGAACGCUUAGGGACACGCCUGACCAUUUGCUGACACAUCUCUUGAUGGCCCCGUAUCGCUCUGUUUGCCAGCUGGGAAGAAAACGUCUUUGUGUACGACCUGGUGAACAGCCGCGUGCCCGGCAUCCCCACCGACAUCUGGACGGGGCUCAACGACCUUCGGCAGGAGGGUCACUUUGAGUGGACAGAUGGCUCCUCCUACGACUACCACUACUGGGAUGGCAGCCAGCCUGACGAUGGGAUCCACUCCAUCCCGGAGGAGGAGGACUGCGUGCAGAUCUGGUACAGGCACAGCAGCGCACUGCGCUCCUGGAAUGACAACGCCUGUGGCAGAGCCUUCCCCUUCGUCUGCAAGAUUCCCUCACUGGCCCUGGACUGAGGCUGCUGGUGCUGCCCACACCCCCCUUCAUUUUGGGUCACCUCUCCAGCUGUGCCAGGCAAGAGCAGUCAGGGCAUGGCAUGGGUUGGGAGAGCCUUGGAGCUGCUUGGAUCCCCAGCCAGUCCCUGGCUGCAAAAUCCCUCCUGGGAGUGUGGUGGGGAUGAACCUGGCACUCAGCACUGACAGGAGCUACAUUCAACAGCAAAGGAGCCCCCAAGCCUGAGUCUGGCUUUGGAUUUCAGAUCGACUAUCACAGCGUGUUAGAGGAAGCCCAUGAUUUUACCAAUACACCAAACUGUUAGCACCCAAAAAUAGCCAUGUGUAGGAAAUGCUUUUGCCUGUUGAUCUGCAAAGAGUGGAGGAAAAGUGUUGUUUUCUGUUAAGUUAUGCAAAAUGCCUCUUGUCCAUGUUAUUUUCCUCUCUGCUAAAAUAAACGGCAAACAGCAGGUGGAGGCUCCGCUCUCUUUCUUGCACUGGAGUAGCAGUGACUCCCUGGGGACUUGGGGUUUCAUGUGGAAGAAGUUAUUUUUUCCCCAGCCUGCUCUGUAUUACAGAGGUGUGUUGAGGGGAAGCAGCUGCCU
rnacentral:lncRNA from 13 species